rnacentral:rRNA from 1 species
UACGGAGGCGGCAAGCUUUGUCCGGAAUCACUGGGUUUAAAGGGGGCGUAGGCGGUUUGAUCAGUCAGAGGUGAAAGCUAGCAGCUUAACUGUUAAAUUGCCUUUGAUACUGUCAGACUUGAAUCAAGUUGAGGUAGGCGGAAUGUGACAUGUAGCGGUGAAAUGCAUAGAUAUGUCAUAGAACACCAAUUGCGUAGGCAGCUUGCUGGGCUUGAAUUGACGCUGAGGCACGAAAGCGUGGGGAUUAAACAGG